rnacentral:rRNA from 1 species
CCUACGGGGUGCAGCAGUGGGGAAUAUUGGACAAUGGGCGAAAGCCUGAUCCAGCCAUGCCGCGUGUGUGAAGAAGGCCUUCGGGUUGUAAAGCACUUUCAGUGGGGAAGAAAGCCUUGGGGCUAAUACCCUCGAGGAAGGACAUCACCCACAGAAGAAGCACCGGCUAACUCCGUGCCAGCAGCCGCGGUAAUACGGAGGGUGCGAGCGUUAAUCGGAAUUACUGGGCGUAAAGCGCGCGUAGGCGGUCUGAUAAGCCGGUUGUGAAAGCCCCGGGCUCAACCUGGGAACGGCAUCCGGAACUGUCAGGCUAGAGUGCAGGAGAGGAAGGUAGAAUUCCCGGUGUAGCGGCGAAAUGCGUAGAGAUCGGGAGGAAUACCAGUGGCGAAGGCGGCCUUCUGGACUGACACUGACGCUGAGGUGCGAAAGCGUGGGUAGCAAACAGGAUUAGAUACCCCAGUAGUC